rnacentral:rRNA from 1 species
GAUGAACGCUGGCGGCGUGCCUAAUACAUGCAAGUCGAGCGAACAGAUGAGAAGCUUGCUUCUCUGAUGUUAGCGGCGGACGGGUGAGUAACACGUGGGUAACCUACCUAUAAGACUGGGAUAACUCCGGGAAACCGGGGCUAAUACCGGAUAAUAUUUUGAACCGCAUGGUUCAAUAGUGAAAGACGGUUUCGGCUGUCACUUAUAGAUGGACCCGCGCCGUAUUAGCUAGUUGGUAAGGUAACGGCUUACCAAGGCGACGAUACGUAGCCGACCUGAGAGGGUGAUCGGCCACACUGGAACUGAGACACGGUACAGAUUCCUACGGGAGGCAGCAGUAGGAAUCUUCCGCAAUGGGCGAAAGCCUGACGGAGCAACGCCGCGUGAGUGAUGAAGGUCUUCGGAUCGUAAAACUCUGUUGUUAGGGAAGAACAAAUUUGUUAGUAACUGAACAAGUCUUGACGGUACCUAACCAGAAAGCCACGGCUAACUACGUGCCAGCCGCCGCGGUAA